GGUGAACGCUGGCGGCGUGCCUAAUACAUGCAAGUCGAGCGAAUGGAUUAAGAGCUUGCUCUUAUGAAGUUAGCGGCGGACGGGUGAGUAACACGUGGGUAACCUGCCCAUAAGACUGGGAUAACUCUGGGAAACCGGGGCUAAUACCGGAUAACAUUUUGAACCGCAUGGUUCGAAAUUGAAAGGCGGCUUCGGCUGUCACUUAUGGAUGGACCCGCGUCGCAUUAGCUAGUUGGUGAGGUAACGGCUCACCAAGGCAACGAUGCGUAGCCGACCUGAGAGGGUGAUCGGCCACACUGGGACUGAAACACGGCCCAGACUCCUACGGGAGGCAGCAGUAGGGAAUCUUCCGCAAUGGACGAAAGUCUGACGGAGCAACGCCGCGUGAGUGAUGAAGGCUUUCGGGUCGUAAAACUCUGUUGUUAGGGAAGAACAAGUGCUAGUUGAAUAAGCUGGCACCUUGACGGUACCUAACCAGAAAGCCACGGCUAACUACGUGCCAGCCGCCGCAGUAA
rnacentral:rRNA from 1 species